AUUGAACGCUGGCGGUAUGCCUUACACAUGCAAGUCGAACGGUAACAGGUCUUCGGAUGCUGACGAGUGGCGAACGGGUGAGGAAUACAUCGGAACGUGCCUAGUAGUGGGGGAUAACUACUCGAAAGAGUGGCUAAUACCGCAUGAGAUCUACGGAUGAAAGCAGGGGAUCGCAAGACCUUGUGCUACUAGAGCGGCCGAUGGCAGAUUAGGUAGUUGGUGGGAUAAAAGCUUACCAAGCCGAAGAUCUGUGGCUGGUCUGAGAGGACGAUCAGCCAGACUGGGACAGAGACACGGCCCAGCCUGCUACGCGAGGCAGCGGUGGGGAAUUUUGGACAAUGGGCGCAUGCCUGAUCCAGCAAUGCCGCGUGCAGGGUGAAGGCCUUCGGGUUGUAAACUGCUGUUGUACGUAACGAAGAGACCUGGGUUAAUACCCUGGGGUCAUGACGGUACCGUAAGAAUAAGCACCGGCUAACUACGUGCCAGCCGCCGCCGUAA
rnacentral:rRNA from 1 species